rnacentral:rRNA from 1 species
GUGCCAGCAGCCGCGGUAAUACCAGCACCCCGAGUGGUCGGGACGAUUAUUGGGCCUAAAGCAUCCGUAGCCGGUUCUGCAAGUCCCCCGUUAAAUCCAGCUGCUCAACAGAUGGGCCGCGGAGGAUACUACAGAGCUAGGAGGCAGGAGAGGCAAGCGGUACUCAGUGGGUAGGGGUAAAAUCCGUUGAUCCAUUGAAGACCACCAGUGGCGAAGGCGGCUUGCCAGAAUGCGCUCGACGGUGAGGGAUGAAAGCUGGGGGAGCAAACCGGAUUAGAUACCCGCGUAGUCC